AUUCUCUCAGGGUCACACCUGGAGAGUUUCCAGUACUCUCCCACUUAUGACUGCAGGAGGGAGAGUCAAGCAGAGGCAUUUCAAUUCCAUUUCUAGCUUGGGCAGUGGCUGGUAAGUGGAAGGCAAUCUGCUUCAAGU